GCCCUUAGCUCAGUUGGUAGAGCAUGAGAUUCUUGAGAGGGUUGUGGGUUCAAGCCCCACAUUGGGCA